AGCAGAACUUGUAUCAGCCAAAUAGACAGGAGAAAGCGGAUUUUUCAUUGGACUUCAGGACUCCUGAGUAACAGAUAAAGACAGAGAAACAGCAAAGUUAUGGAGAAUCAGGAAGUAAGUGCCAGUCUGCGCAGAUCUGAGGUCAGUGAGACACACAUAAGGCUCCUCUGAUGCUCCUCUUCAUCCGCUGAUGGGCCUCCAGCUCGUCUGACUCAUUCUGCUCCACGAAGGUCAUCUCCUCUGCCAGCUUCCUCUGAUCCAGGGAGACCCUCUGCUUCUCUCUGAUUGGUUCCCGCUUUCUACAGGAGGUCCAGUGCAGCUGAAUGGUGAUGAUGGUGCAAAUCAGUAACACUGACACUGUCUCCAUCCACACCCGUCACCUCCUGUUUGUCCACUGACAGCCCUGGAGGACUUCAAC